rnacentral:rRNA from 1 species
ACGGUGAAAGAUGAGCAUGCGUCCCAUUAGCUAGAUGGUAAGGUAACGGCUUACCAUGGCUACGAUGGGUAGGGGUCCUGAGAGGGAGAUCCCCCACACUGGUACUGAGACACGGACCAGACUCCUACGGGAGGCAGCAGUGAGGAAUAUUGGACAAUGGGCGCAAGCCUGAUCCAGCCAUGCCGCGUGCAGGAUGACGGUCCUAUGGAUUGUAAACUGCUUUUGUACAGGAAGAAACACUGGUUCGUGAACCAGCUUGACGGUACUGUAAGAAUAAGGAUCGGCUAACUCCGUGCCAGCAGCCGCGGUAAUACGGAGGAUCCAAGCGUUAUCCGGAAUCAUUGGGUUUAAAGGGUCCGUAGGCGGUUUAGUAAGUCAGUGGUGAAAGCCCAUCGCUCAACGGUGGAACGGCCAUUGAUACUGCUAAACUUGAAUUAUUAGGAAGUAACUAGAAUAUGUAGUGUAGCGGUGAAAUGCUUAGAGAUUACAUGGAAUACCAAUUGCGAAGGCAGGUUACUACUAAUGGAUUGACGCUGAUGGACGAAAGCGUGGGUAGCGAACAGGAUUAGAUACCCUGGUAGUCCACGCCGUAAACGAUGGAUACUAGCUGUUGGAAGCAAUUUCAGUGGCUAAGCGAAAGUGAUAAGUAUCCCACCUGGGGAGUACGUUCG